rnacentral:lncRNA from 1 species
GGCUACGAGUGAUCGCCAAAGAAGAAGUGGGCAUAACUUGAAGGUGAGAUCUACAUGACUUAACUUUUUUUGUAAGUACAUGAAAUGCCCUUGCUCAUCUUGUAGCAAGUCGUCUUUGUAUUAUGUAUUAUGUAACUUGAAAGAGUUUCGUAUUAUGUAACUUGAAAGAGUUUCGUAUUAUGUAACUUGAAAGAGUUUGACGGUGGUUUGUUUGUUUUUUACUUUGAGCAACUAUGUAAAUCUCAUCAUUCCCAAUAUAUUCCUCUGCCCCUCCUGCUAUUCUGCUUGCCCCUUGCUCCAACAUCACAUCCUUUAAUAUUACUUCCUCUUAGGAAAAGGGGGGGAAAAAGCCCAGUUCUGUUACAUUUAGUAUGAAUUUCUUUGCUUGCUCUGUACCCUAAAAAACAGUUUGAUUUUGUAAAAAGUUCCUGACUCCUUCAGGGUGUAACACAGGGUGUAACACAAGCAAAACACAUUCGUAAGCAAAGAAACAACAGCAGUGAACAACAGCGCCAUGUUGUAAUGAACCAUUGUUUGUUUACUAUAACUUUUAAUUGCUCAACUUUAAUCAUAAAUGCAACAUCAUGUUAUUCGUCAGGAAGACCUUUUGCCUGGUUAGCUGAGUCAUAUAACCAAGCCACAUAUUUAUAAGUCUAUGAAGAGGUGACCAUUCAGUUGUCUACGGACAGUAGCUUGAGCUCCAGCAACAAGAGGGCAAAAACUUGUGCCUCACUUUCAUGGGUGAUGCUUAAACUGAUUUUAAAGUACAGUAAUCUAAAUCUGCCUUCAGUGUGAUUUCUCAUCUGUAUUGUCUAAUAGGCAUACACUGUCACAGUGCUACAAAUAACACCAGGGAGACUCCUGUGUGACGUUGCAUAGUGAUAGAGCACUUGCGUUGAACGAGGUUCCUGGCACAGUCCCUAGAACUUCCUGGAAAGGCGGGGAAAGACCCAGACUGAAACCCUGAAGAACUGCUGCCAGUCACUGUUGACAAUAUUUGACUCAUUCGACCAAUGAUCUGACUUAGAAUUGACAGCAAGUUGUCGUAUACCAUCUUCAUAGCUUUGCCCUUCCCCAGAGCAGGAUGGAGACCACAGCCAAUAUCCUUCUAAAUGUUUCCCUCAUCCAUGGAGAGAAUGACAUGAAGGGGAGCUGGGCAUACACCUGGGCAUUUGCAGUCAUUGCAUAGCCAUUUCCAUAUGCAUUCAUUAUAUUUCUAUGACGCUUUUCAUUCACACAAAUCACAAAGCAGCUCACAAACAAUAAGUACCAAUAACAUAGUAGAACAUCACAAUCACAACAUAAAUCAUAUAGAAUAAAUAACAAAUAGUCAGUAGAACAAUGGCAAAACCAACUGGCCGUAAUGGUGAUGAGAAAGGUAUGUUAUCGGUUGCUCCCAACACCAGUGUGACAGAAAACGCCCCGCAAUCAUUACAUAAUAAUGUAUAAAAUUGUGAGCAAGCUCAGAGUGGAUGGAUGGAUGGACUGAGAGGGAGACAGGUGACCCACAUUCAUCCACUACUUCUCCCCUUAAAACUAAACCUCAUUUCCCCUUUUUCCAAAUGCACAUCUUAGCACAGCCACCAGCUGGGCUAACCAAAGCUUUUAGCUCCCUUGUAAAUAAUAAACAGCUGAUGGAUGUAUCAUUUCCUCUUCCACUAAGGUUGCAAAUCUUUUUCUGCAGGCUCUUAAUGCCUACAAAAUCCUCACUGUUAAGAGGCUGCUCUGCCCACGCAGCUGUGUCUGUGUCAGAGGAAUAACAUGUUCCCUGCUGUAUCGUGUAUAGUUUUUCUUCUCUAGCAAGAGGCAAAAUGAAAGCUACUCAAAAGCAACUUCUUGAUCAGCUUGAGAAAUAUACAUUAUAGACAGCAGGGUGAUCAAAGGGGUAUGUGCUGAUUCAUUGGCUAUAUUCAUCUAAAAAGGUGUGUGUGUCACAUGUACAAUUCUGACAGCUUCUAGGGCUGUGUGCAACUAUUACAAAGCCUUAAAAGGGUUCUAGAAUUGUUACAUACUGUAGGCCGUGCACUGAAAAAAGGAAAGAUUUAUUAAAGAACAAAGUCAUUACGGAUGAAAAAUCAGUAAGGAUGAUUUUUUUCACCAGUCAAGAUGCCGGGGAACAGGAAGUGUGGCUGACGUACACUUCUUCCUCUCUAUGAUUCUUUAUCAUAUCUGAACUGGAGAUUGUACAGCCAGCUUCCCUUGCACUAAGAUGCAUCAGUGAUUCCUACAUCAGAAGCAUGCACACAUAUCUCACAGAUGAGGAGAUGCAUGUGCUUCAUUUUGGACACUGAUGUCAAAGGAAGGGUACCCUCAGAGAAUGGUGGACAAACUGAGAGCUUAGAAGCCUGCAAGAUAAUUUACAUUUCUUGAAAAUGGCCUGUCUGGCCAGUCACCUUCCUUUUCUGCUGCAAAAUUUUGAACUACAUCCUAGAUUAUCAGUAGCAGGAUCUCCGUCUUUCUGUAUGAUGAUUUCUCCAUGUGCCAUGUGGAUGUAACCAAAACAUAUUUGGAUUGAGAGGGAGUUGGGUGUUCAGAUUUUUCAGAGGUUCUCAAACUGCAUUCCCAAGAAGUUUAUUGGGGUUCUUCAGUGAUAACAUUUAGGGUAGACAAAUGUCUCUGAAAGGCAAGCACUGCUUCAUUAUGAAACAUCUCCAGAGAUGCUCAGGCCCAGGGGAAUGUUAGGUUAUAGGUUGACACACUCUUAUUUUGCACAGAGGAAGGGCAAACCCCAGAGCCUUGAGUGGCAUUCAGUGUAAAAGAAGCCCCAAAUCUAUUGGCACUUGAGGUGGUCUUGCAAACAUGCAUAAAGUUUGGGAAGAGGUCAUGAAGGUAAUUUCUUACAUAAUGGGUGUAAAGGUAAGCUCUCAUCUCGCUUUAUUGGCCAAGGGAGCCAGCGUACAGCUUCCGGGUCAUGUGGCCAGCAUGACUAAGCCGCUUCUGGUGAACCAGAGCAGCGCACGGAAACGCCGUUUACCUUCCCGCCAGAGUGGUACCUAUUUACCUACUUGCACUUUGACGUGCUUUCGAACUGCUAGGUUGGCAGGAGCAGGGACCGAGCAACGGGAGCUCACCCCGUCAUGGGGAUUCGAACCGCUGACCUUCUGAUCGGCAAGUCCUAGGCUCUGUGGUUUAACCCACAGCGCCACCCAUGUCCCAUAAUGGGUUUACUGGUGCCUUUAAACCCCAAACUGUGACUUCUAUCAAUUACUGAUGAGUCGAAUAGAUUUAAUAUGUAAACCACUUAUAAUUUUUCUAUUAGUAGCUGCUUUUUUGACCAUAACCCUGGGCUGGAAGGAGUCUUGGGUUUUUCUUUAAAUAAUUGGUUCAAUGGCAAAUUAAUGGUUAUUCUGAGUUCUGUGAAACUGAUUUAUAAAUUAAGGGAAUCUUGGAGGGGGGCAGCUACAUCUAUGGAUUUUGCCUCCAUUUGGUAGCAAUUUAUUGCUUAUAUGAUAAGGCCAAUCACAGGGAUAGGAAGUCCUGAUGAAAUAUGGCUUUAUUUGGUAUUUUGUCGUAACAUCUAAUUCAUUGUGCAGUCCCUUGAGAAUGUAUUUUAUGAGGUAAUGGCUGUGAAGCUUGGGUUUGUUUUUGUUUUUUAACUGUUUCCCUUCCUCUUCUUUUUUAUUUUUUAAAUUUCAUAUUUCUUAUCAGAUUGUGAUUUUAACUUCAUGAUACAUUUUUUUUAAAAAAACCCUCCCAAACCCACCCUGGAAUUAUCAUCUUUACAACGUUGAAGUGACUCAGUAGGCAAACAGUGAUUUUGUGAUGGUUCCCAGAGGGUAGGAAGUUUGAGAAGAAAACCACUAGUUACAGGGAAGGAGGCAAUGCUUUUAAGUUAAAAGGCAAUAGCACACCCACUUCUCAUCCUCUUUGCAAGAGUCCUACAGGAUGGGGGAAAGGAGAUACCAUUGAGGAGGCACGAGAAGCAGAAGGGCUGUUAAAACUAUAGGGAUGGUGGGGCUACCAGGUUUCAACGCAAGUUUCUUCCACGACUCCUCCAAUGGAGUCCAGUAACACUGUGACUAUAAAAGGUAAAGUAUGCUGGUAAGCCACUGGAGUCCUGCAGUAUUCCUGCGGCCUAUCAGAUUGUUUGAAUAGGGUAGAUAACCACUGGACUAAGCUGCUGUGCGUGCACAUCCUGCUGCAGUAGUUAAUUACCAUGCCCUCACUUUGGCAUGCAGAUUGGGAACAACCCCUUUCUUAGACAAAUAAAUAUAUGUGAGUUGUAAAGAUUAAUAGGGGGAGAGGAACGGGCGGACAGGGAAAGAGAUCUUGGUUAUAAUCAAUACCAAGUAGCAAAGUAAUGCCUUUUCCCAAAUACCUUAUACGGCUAUAGCCAGCCUUAGUCACUUCUUGCCAAUUUAUGUUCCCUUUGUGUUGGUGCCAUGGCAACUCCUCUCCGUUUAUUGUUGGCAUGCUUGACAGAGGAGUUCUCGGAGGAUGAAUUCCUUGACCUUCCCAGAUGCUGCUUAUUUGGAGUUCAGAAGAUUGUUUCUUUUUAUAGGCAGCAAGUUAAAUUGGGAUUUUCUUACAUAUGCAAAUAAAUCAGCUUGCCUCCGAUCCACCAACCUGCUCCCCCAGUAUCUGCCGCUGCUUUAUCUAGGAUUUUUGCCGUCGUCUGAAAUGAAUAUUUUUUUUAAAAGGAGUAUGUCUAAAAGCAGAAGUAAUGUUGGAUUUAUGGUUAUGAUCUGACUAACAAACAUUGUAUGCAAACCGCUCAGGUAAUUAGGAGUCUGGAUAAACAGGAGUGCUGUGCUAUAUAAGGAGGGACAGCUUGGGAGGGUGGAGUGCAAAGGCAAUUGCAGGAAUAAUGAACUAUGGCUAGAUGAGAUAUAUAUUAGAUGCCUAAGUCCAGAUUACUGCAAAUAUCUGGAACAUGCAGGUGCAGAGGUAAAUACUGGCAUAUUGCCAACAAGCUGCUUUACCUGAAGGAAUGCAGUGGAUCUGAGUUUUAUAGCAGGCCCUGGCUUAAGAAGAGACUGUUUGGGAUCAUCAGAGUCCCAAGAUCAGGAGCUAAGUUCUCAUGCACAGUAUCCUGGCUCCAUCUGUAUAUAUGAUUUACUCUCAGUCAGUCACUUGAUGCCCUGGACUCCUGGUUUCAGACACAUAAGGUUCAAGUCAGGAGGUGGAAUCUUUUUCAUAGAAUAAUAGAAUUGGAAGGGACCGUGAGAGUCAUCUAGUUCAACUCCUCUUUUGCCCAGCGUGGGGCUCAAACCCACAACCCCAAGAUUAAGAGUCUCAUGCUCUACCAACUGAGCUAUCCCAGUUUUAGAUUUUAAAAAAACUUAGGGUAUGUAUAUACCAUAUGUAUAUACCAUACAGUUAAAAUAUAUUUAAAGCAGCCCCACAAGGAAUCCAGGGACCUGCCAUUUCCUCCUCACAAAGAUACCUUUUAACAUACCACGAUUUCCAGGAUUUGGGGUGGGGUGGGGUGGAGAGCCUGCUUUUCAGGUGUGCUGUGUAUGCACCUUGGGGACCACAUUCUUAUCUGGACAGCCUUCUGGGGGCUGCACACCAGAGGUGAAACAGUGAGCAAAAUCCAUGAAUGUAAAUUUAAACUUUGUACAGUAGGCUAGUUUCUAUACCUACUCACACCAGCCAGACAACCAAGGGGCCAAGAACAGAUUGCAACCAAGAAAAAGCACUGAUGAGAGGUAUGAAGUAGGGUCAGUGAGGGGUUAGGCUGAGGAGAUGUGGUCUGGGGAAAGAGUCCCAAGGCUCGUACAGAGAGAGCUGGAGAGCUGCAUUUGGUCCCCAGGCCUGAAGUUCCCAAUCCCUAGUUUAUCUAAUGUGGGAAAGCUGCCUUACAUGAAUCACAGUAUUGCUCCAUCUAGCUCAGCACUGGCUACACUGAUAGGCAGUAGCCCUCUCAUAUUUCAGAUGGAGGGGGGCAUUCACAGCCCUAUCUAGAGAUGCUGGGGACUGAACCUAGGGCUCUCUGCAAGCAAAGGAGAUGUUCUACCAUUGGGCUACAGCCCUUUGGUUCUCCAAAUGAACUACAGCUAGAAGGAAAGGCACUUUCUUUUUCCCAGGAACACGCUUAAUUGCUACAGUUCUGGGGGAAACCCAGCAGGGCUUAGCAACUAAGCCAGUCAUGAAAACCGUGAAAAGCAAGGGAGUAAAAGAGGCACGAGUGGAGAUCUGGACAAUUUAGUUUUGACAGCACUAAUUCUGGACUGGGCAUUCUGUAUCAAGGGAGUGGGAGUCAGACAAUGCUUUGGGUAAACCCUGCAAGGCCUUGAGUCAGGGCAACGUGCUCAUCUGGGGAGAAAGAUGACCUGCCUGGCGUCUCUGGCAAAGCCUGGAGAACACUGGAGUUGACAAAUAUCUUCACGGCUUUCUUCAGAUACCUUCGGCAAAAUUCCAAACAUUGAACUGACCACUGGAAAACAGGAAUCCCUGGUGGGAGAGUGUUUACAUUGAAGUGAAGUAUUCUCCUUUCUAUAAAAUCGCCCCAUUGCUUUUAAUCAGCUGUACCCACUUAACUUUAUUACAAAUAUUGUCACUGAAUCUUCAAACGUUACUUCAAAGGGCCACAAAUAAAACAGAAGACAUUUCUAGUGGGUUAGUUUGCUUCUUUACUCAGCAUUCAAUGGCCCCCUGGUGCCAGCUCUGUGAAUCGCAGCUCAAGAGCCGAAUCUAGAGCUCAAAGACUGGAAUAGACUUUUGGAUCAAACAGCAGGUAUUUGUGAAAACAAACUACUCAAGACUUAUUGUUACAGUUACCUCACGGUCAAAGCUACAAUUUCCUUGCUCAAUCCAUGACAUCAUAAUCCAAACCAGUUUUUUACUUUGCUUUCUGGACCUUUUUCAUUCAUAAUUGCCACAUAAAGAUUCUUCUCCGCUCAGUCCUAUGCAUGAGUAGAAUGGGGCUUGCUCCCAAGUAUGUGUAUUUCAGCAUUAGUCUUAAAUUGUUGUUUAAAGACAAAAUACUCCUGUCCUGAUUCACCCCCUUCCUUUCCGCCCAAAAGUAUUUAUUUAAGGUAUUUAUAGGCCACUCUUCAUUUUAUCAAGUGUGGUUUGCAAAUAGUUAAAAAGACUGACUUCCCAGCUUCUUUUCCACACUCAGUAUCCCCCUGCCUUGGAUCUUGCACUUAUCCUCUUGCUGAAUCCUGCGUGAUUUGACUCUGCACCACCUUCCUGCUCUCCACACCUUGCUUCUUCUUCAUUCCAAAUCCCAGAAGUAUGACGUUCUUCAGUGGUUACAACUGCCUUCCUCCACCUCCUGCUCCAAUGAAUGAGGUAAGGUGGGUCGGUGUAGCCCUUCUCAGCGGUGGGUCAUCUGGGAUAGUGAUUCCCAACUCCCCCAAACCCAUUUGAACUUUGCUGUAUUGGAAUGAUGUACUUCAAAAAAACCAUGCCAUCAGUAUAUUUAAAAGUAACCUUAAACCCACUGAGGCUUAUUCCUCCUGCACAAGAUUGUAAGACUGGGAAUUCUAAAUGGAGGUAUCCAUGGUGACAAUUGAAGCAGGGUGCUCUUUUAUUCUGAUUUUUUUAUUUCAGAACACUUUGUCUCUGGCAGGAUCCAGUGGGGUGGGAGCACAGAAUAGCUUCCCAGCAGGAGAGUCACUACUGCUUACUAGGAUGGGGAGAGGCGAGGUGGUGCUGUGGGCGCAUCUGUGAUGUCUGUAAAGCCCUGACCUCACCGCCACUUCCCUCUCCCAGUAAGUAGCAGUGGCUCCCCUGGACAAGUCACUCCUGGUCUCUGCCUCUGCAGAUCAUUGCCUCUGUCUCCAUCCACCUCUGGCCUGUACCCUGAACAGAUGAGCCCUGAAAAAAUUUCAGCCCUUGACAGACAACACAGAUGACCACUCCUGUUCUGGAAGAUACACAUGCUGGAGUUUGGCUAGUGCUCUGGAUGCUCUCUGCCUUCCAAAAGGUCAAUAGAGAUGACAUCAGCUUCACUGCUGCCUUUUAAUUUUCUGCUGUUUCUGCAAGCAUUACUUAACCAAGACUGUGUACUUCGUUGAGAUUCAUGAGUAAUGUGCAUUAGCAAGCUGGAAAUGGUUUAUAAAGCAUUUAAUUGAAUGUGAUGCAGCCAAGUAUUUUGUCCUUCUUUCAGGGUCCUUGCUGAUGUGUUCCCAAGAGACCACAACUUCCCAUCACCACAUUAGGAACAG